rnacentral:rRNA from 1 species
UACGUAGGAUGCAAGCGUUGUCCGGAUUUACUGGGCGUAAAGCGCGCGCAGGCGGCAGGUUAAGUAAGGUGUGAAAUCUCCCUGCUCAACGGGGAGGGUGCACUUUAGACUGACCAGCUAGAGGGCGGUAGAGGGUGGUGGAAUUGCUGGUGUAGCGGUGAAAUGCGCAGAUAUCAGGAGGAACACCGGUGGCGAAGGCGCCACUCUGGGCCGAAACUGACGCUGAGGAGCGAAAGCGUGGGUAGCAAACAGG